rnacentral:rRNA from 1 species
GACGGACGGUGCAAGCGUUGCUCGGAAUUCCUGGGCGUAAAGAGCUCGUAGGCGGUUUGUCGCGUCGUCCGUGAAAACUUGGGGCUCAACCCCAAGCUUGCGGGCGAUACGGGCAGACUUGAGUACUGCAGGGGAGACUGGAAUUCCUGGUGUAGCGGUGAAAUGCGCAGAUAUCAGGAGGAACACCGGUGGCGAAGGCGGGUCUCUGGGCAGUAACUGACGCUGAGGAGCGAAAGCCAGGGGAGCAAACGGG